GGAAAGACCAUAGCUCAGUGGUAGAGCAUCUGACUUGCAUGCUGAAGGUUCUGGGUUCAAUUCCCAGUGUUCUCCA